rnacentral:piRNA from 1 species
UACUGACAACGGGUCGUUUUUUGAUGUC